CGGCGGACGGGUGAGUAAUGCCUAGGAAUCUGCCUGGUAGUGGGGGACAACGUUUCGAAAGGAACGCUAAUACCGCAUACGUCCUACGGGAGAAAGCAGGGGACCUUCGGGCCUUACGCUAUCAGAUGAGCCUAGGUCGGAUUAGCUAGUUGGUGAGGUAAUGGCUCACCAAGGCGACGAUCCGUAACUGGUCUGAGAGGAUGAUCAGUCACACUGGAACUGAGACACGGUCCAGACUCCUACGGGAGGCAGCAGGC
rnacentral:rRNA from 1 species